CCAUCGAGUCUUUGAACGCAAGUUGCGCCCGAAACCAUUAGGUCGAGGGCACGCCUGCCUGGGCGUCACG
rnacentral:rRNA from 1 species